UGUCACGGACGCACCUCGAUCUUCCCGCGAUAUAAAAAGCCGAUGAUUCCGUCGACUCUGCCGUCGCGUUCUCAUCGAUUUACCGUUUCGACAUUUCGAGACUCGGGACAUUUCGUUAGACAAUUCGAUUCUCGCCUAUGAUUAUCUCCUGUUUGCUUCAAAAUCAACCUCCAAAUCAUCCCGAGAGAGUUGCCAAGAUUUUUAUGGCGCUUCCUGUUAGCGAAAUUCCCAUCGACAGAAUCGGAUUGGCAUGUAAGCUCAAGGAUUAUGUUGAGCAAACUAUAAAGCCGAAGGAGAGCGGAGCCUAAUGGAGGACCGCUGGGAAGGCGCUGGAAUUUUAAUCGGCGAAGCUGAUGCGAAUGUAGUUCGCAAUUAGACUCUCGAGGACACGGAGGAGAUUAUCAAAGGGAUUCCACGCGCCGAGGUCGAUCCACUUUGGACUCUCUUAGUCGCGCGAAAUAUGAUAAGCGCACAGAGGAAGCCACAUGAUCGCGCAGGUGGGCCUCGCCAUACUGAGGAAGCCCACGAUCCACAGGAAC